GCCCUCGGGCAUCACACAGACACCCCCGAACAAGCAGACGUGGGGUUAUCAGGAGUGCCUUUACUCACAGUGCCCUUUCCAACCCCGAGCAGUCCCGGAAGAUGGUUCUCCCCUAGCUUCUUUACCCUGACUGCUACACAUCAUUGGCAUCCAGUGUCUUCACUUCCUCGCUGGCCUUGACCCAGAGCCUCCCGGUCAGAGCCUCAGACUCUAGUCGGAGGAGGGCACCUGGCUUCUCAGAAGUGGUGGAAGGGGAGGCAGGAGGCAGUCAUGGGUGCUCAAGGGUCAGCUCCACACAUCUCCACCCACCAUUCCCAGGGGCUCUGCCUGCCUUUCUCGCAGCUCUGACCUUCAGGAAGCUUCUCCUUGUCUUAAGCAGAAAUCUGUUUGCCUGGUUCCCACUCCACACUAUUCCUGCCCCAGAGGUAUUCUUAGCUCCCCCUUGUGAGCAGUGUGGAGUAAGACCUCUGUCUUCUCCCGACACACGCAGUCCCUUGGUCCCCUGGCCCCUCAGUGCCACACACCAGAGUUGGCCUUCACCGCUGACUCCCUGUCUCCUGAGGCAGACCUGUGCCCUCUUGGAGCCACUAAGCAGGCAGUGUUGCCUCCCCAUGGUCUCCCGAGUCCUCCCAGCCUUGUGCUGGGAGGGCCAGAGCAGAGGAGGGGAGACGGUCCCCAGGCUGCUCAGCAUCUCCUGUCCCCCACCCCACCCCCACCAGAGCAGCUCGCUGCUGUUUUGUGUUGUGGCUUCCUUGUAAGCUUCUAUCUGAUAAAAGGCUCUGGUAGACAAAAGAAGUUUCGAAACUUCUGAAGGGCAACACCCUGGUAAGAUUUUAUCCUGCCACACGGCUUUAGGUUCUCUGGCAGGUGGGCUCCCCCAGGACUGAUGGCUGUCCUUUGCAUAUGACCUGACGGACUGGUGUGGGGAGUCUUCUCCCUGGGGAAUGUCUGAGUAUGGGGGGAGGCAGCUGCAGGUGACAUCCCUAGCCACGGCCACACCUCCCGCUGGGGCCGUCCCCUCCGAUCGUGUGUCUGUGAGCUGAGGUUUAUGCUCUGGGACUUUGCAGACCUCAGGCUGCUGGAGUCCGACCCCGAGUCCAUCGGCCGCCACUUUGCUUCCAACAGCAGCUCGGUGGCAGCCGCAAUCCUGGUGCCUUUCGUCGCCCUCAUCAUUGCAGGCUUCGUGCUGUAUCUCUACAAGCACAGGAGAAGACCCAAAGUUCCGUUCAAUGGCUACGCCGGCCACGAGAACACAAACGUUCGGGCCACAUUUGAGAACCCAAUGUACGACCGCAACAUCCAGCCCACAGACAUCAUGGCCACCGAGGCGGAGUUUACAGUCAGUACAGUGUGCACAGCCGUAUAGCCACCAGGCCUGGCUGCCACCGCCGCCGCCACCGAGAGCCCCGCCUCCGGCAGCCGUUGUCCAGGGGACAGGCCGUCAGCCCCCUGAGCACAGUGCCCGGUGCCCAUCUUCGUCUGUCUCUCUGCCCGUGUCUGCUACUGCUGGGACUUGGGUCCUCACCCCGCCACCACCUGCACCCGCCACCCCAGAGAAGACUCCCGCUGGGCCCCGACUUCGGGGCAGUACAGGAAGAGGGGCUGCAGAUGGACACAGGAAGCUUAUGGAUUUAAAACAGCAAAGCAUCUUGUGGCUGUGGGGGGGGGAGGGGGCCCGAGCACACACAGACACACAUGCCUCUCCUUCAUUUGAGUCCUGCGAAGAGACCGCCGAAGUUUAAAAAAGAGAAAUGUGUGUGAAAGAUGCCCCCCCGCCCUGCUCCCCACAAACACAGAGAAGAGGUGAAGAGGAAGCUGCACGCCCCGCCGGCCCUGUGUGAGGAGGCGGCGAGUGUGUUAGGUGGUCAGUGUGUAGAAACCAGCCGUCCGCAACUGGCUGUUCUCCUGCAAAAGUGACAGCAAGGAUUACCCCAAGGGCAGAAAAACAUCUUAAGAAGUACUUUGGAAAUCAGUUUAUUUUUUCCAACAGAAUUUUAUUGAGUUCUAAACCCAGUGAGUUAAAAAGUCAUUCUGGGUCCUAGGCAGCACUGGGGAAGGAAGGGUGGGUCGGGGGACGUAGAGCAGGAAUCUGGCCUCGAGUCUAAGGUCAGGUCUGGCUGUCAACUGACAAAGAAGAGAAGCGAGGCUGUAGCCCAGACGGAGAUGCCGAGUCGGCAGCAUUGGGAAGGUGCUGAUACAGCAGAGCAGGCCUAUCCCAGUGUCCAAAAACUCAUGGCUGCCUUGUGUUGAGUUUCUUCUCUGUGCCUGACACUUUAGGUGUAUCAUUUCUAGACCUUACAACAACCCAAAAUGUAGGAAUCGUUAUUCCUGUUUUAUAAAUGAGAAAACAGAAGCCCAGAAAGGUUGAAGAGACGUAAGCCACACCGUAAGUGUGGAGUCAGGAUGCUAACCCAGGUGGGUCUGACCCCAAAGCCCACUACACCAGCUGCCAGAAACCCAGGUCUAAAGGGGCACCAAAUACAGGGAGGAGCAGGUGAAUCUGUAUAGUAGGACUGUGGCCGGGGCUGGUGGGCCAGGCAGAGGACCUGUGUGUCCUGCUGGGCUCUUCUCCCUCCGUCUGGGCAGCCUCAGGGAAAGGGACCUCCUAGAGCUGGUGCUGCCCCCUUGGCCCCCAGCAGCCCCUGGCUACAGCAGACACAAGACCUGGGAGCUCCUGAACGGAAAGAACGGAGUGAAUGAAAGUCACAACCUCUCCAGCUCCUUGAGAGAAGAUUUGAUUAAUUCUGAGUUCCACUGUGCUUGGGUCCUUAUUGAAUUCCAUACAAGUAUUGUUGGGACACUAGCAAGUUUAGGAAUCAAACUGUGGCAUUUAGAGCCAUUUUCUCUGUCCUCGGGAAGGUCCCUAUGGGCUUAAGCACCUGUGCACGUGUGACAUGCUGGCCUGAGAUGUUCAUAUCACAUACUGAAAUAAAUCGAAAUGGAAGGGAGCGGAGUGGCAGGGACACCUGUUCUUAAACAGAUGAGACGAUCUGCCUCACGGUAAGAGGGGCCGAGUACAGCGAGAGGCGUCAGUUCCCAGCAGAUGGGACUGAGGCUGGCAAUGGCGGGAGCCCCGUGCCACCCACACCCGCUCUGGGUCACAGCGUCCCUGGGCUUGGCGGGAGAGGGCCAACUCAGCCACACACACUCACGCAUUCAUAUCUCUCUUUCCCGGAAACAAAUGCAGGAAGUUCUUUGGCUGCUCCCUUCCUCCCUUCUUUCACUCCUCCCAGACCAACCAGUGGACUCCUCCACCAGCCCUGCCUCCGCCCCCUCCCCUGUGUCCCCGCAGAUGCCCAAGGAGCACAUGCCAGGGGGGGCGCCCAGCACUCUGCUGUGCAUUACCGUUUCCCACCUCCGGCAUUCCUGCACCACCUCCAGAGGGUCGGAAGGAACCGGGCAGUCUAGGCCUUCACUCGCCAUCCACACCGUACACCCACCACCAUCCCAUGAGGAGGAAAAAAAAAAAAAAAAAAAGUAAAACAAAAACAAACAAAAAAA